UUUCCGUAGGUGAACCUGCGGAAGGACCAUUAUUGAAUAAACCUGAUGUGGUUGUAGCUGGCCCUUUCGGGAGCAUGUGCACACCCGUCGUCUUUAUCUUUCCACCUGUGCACCUUUUGUAGACCUGGAUGUAACACUUUCCGAGGCAACUCGGUCGGGAGGAAUGCUGUCAGCUUUCCUUGAAUGUCCAGGCCUAUGUUUUCAUAUACCCCAAAGAAUGUAACAGAAUGUAUUAUUGGGCCUUGUGCCUAUAAACUAUAUACAACUUUCAGCAACGGAUCUCUUGGCUCUC
rnacentral:misc_RNA from 1 species